AAAGUCGUAACAAGGUUUCCGUAGGUGAACCUGCGGAAGGAUCAUUAAAGAGACGUUGCCCUUCGGGGUAUACCUCCCACCCAUUGUUUAUAUACUUUGUUGCUUUGGCAGGCCCGGCUUCGGCCCACCGGCUCCGGCUGGUCAGUGUCUGCCAGAGGAUACCAAAACUCUGUUUGUUAAUAUUGUCUGAGUACUAUAUAAUAGUUAAAACUUUCAACAACGGAUCUCUUGGUUCUG
rnacentral:misc_RNA from 1 species